rnacentral:misc_RNA from 1 species
AAAUCGGCAAACACUACGAAGUCCUGUGAUGUCCUCUCAGCAUAAGUGAGCGGCAAAACCAGAACCAAAUGUCUCCAUAUUACAUGAACAAAAAGCCUUGUGAAUUUUGCAUUAUCAUAUUGUUAGGAUGUUCCUCAAGCCCUGUCUGUGCAUCAAGGGUCAUGAGUCUAGUUAAGAUGACAUUGCAGCUUGUGAUUAACUACAGCUUUUACAA